GAGUGAACGCUGGCGGUAGGCCUACCCCAUGCAAGUCGAACGGCAGCCCAGUAAGAGCUUGCUCUUACGGGUGGCGAGUGGCGGACGGGUGAGGAAUACAUCGGAAUCUACUUUUUCGUGGGGGAUAACGUAGGGAAACUUACGCUAAUACCGCAUACGACCUACGGGUGAAAGCAGGGGAUCUUCGGACCUUGCGCGAUUGAAUGAGCCGAUGUCGGAUUAGCUAGUUGGCGGGGUAAAGGCCCACCAAGGCGACGAUCCGUAGCUGGUCUGAGAGGAUGAUCAGCCACACUGGAACUGAGACACGGUCCAGACUCCUACGGGAGGCAGCAGUGGGGAAUAUUGGACAAUGGGCGCAAGCCUGAUCCAGCCAUACCGCGUGGGUGAAGAAGGCCUUCGGGUUGUAAAGCCCUUUUGUUGGGAAAGAAAAGCAGCAGGUUAAUACCCCGCUGUUCUGACGGUACCCAAAGAGUAAGCACCGGCUAACUUCGUG
rnacentral:rRNA from 1 species